GCGGGCCUGGAGGGUGGAGGUGGAGGGUGUGAUCCCGUUCCGAGUGGAGCAGCGAGGUAAUCAGCCGGCUCCAGAAGCAAACAGGGCUAAGUGGAUCCCGCCAGCAACAGCUCCGGCAAGGGCAAAAGGACGCAGAGCAAGGCCUGCCGGCUCACAUCCAGUUGUAAGCAAGUGUGCCUCGCUCCAAGAAAAAAGCUUGCUGCAUGGUUCUGAGUAAGCCCCUAAAUUGUUGUGCCUGAGUUCUGGGACCUUUAAAGUGCACAUCACAAAGCUGGUGAAGAUCACCAAGAAAGACCUACAGACAGUGCUUCAAAAGCUGCAUUUAGGACUCACAGGUCUUCAUUGCUUCCAAUCCGCCCUUGGAGCCCUUGGCCUCUGGCAAGAUUUUUAGUAGAAAACCAAGGAUUCUUCACCAGAAGCCAAUGAUAAGAUAAAGAAAUAUGGCGCACUCUGUACUACCCACAUGUCACAGCACUGCUCCUGCCACAUUAUGCUGUCCCUCUUCACUGUCCUCUAACUUGAGAAGUCACGUCUGAUAUACAGAUAAUAGAAUCACCUUUGUUUACCGGAAUGAACAGCGAUUCUUUGGGCUCCACAGCACCAGGAAUGUCACUGCCUCUGGGAGCAGAGGGGGGAAGAGAAGACCCCUUAGGACCAGCUGUUCCCAGUUUUCUGAGACUGACAGAGGCCAGCAAGCUCCCCAGAGAGCAGUGGGCGUGUGUUGGGAAGCUAGAACACAAGCUAAAACAAAAUUCACGUCACAUUUUGGGGACAGUUUAACUCAUCACCUUCGCUGUGUUUAACUGGUAACACCGAACUUCACUUUGAGUGGAUUUUACUGAUUUAAAGUUGCAUUUAAAACUUACUUUUCAGUGUGGCAGCAAAAGCACAACUGUUUGAAAAUGUUGGCUCACUCGAGCCAGCUGCUUCUGGGUUGUAAGUUCUCAAAUACCUUAAACCUGGUUAAAAACACAACUGUGGAAGGGCCUCCCUUGUGGCCUAGGGGUUAAGGUUCAGCGCUGCCAGCCACAGUGGCCUGAGUUCAAUCCCCGGCUAGGGAGAUAACCCAUACACAGGGCGGCGGGCGCCUCUGCCUUGCCCGCUAGUGCCACCUAAAGGUGUCCUUGUCUACCGUCCUUCCUUCUCCCCUUCCCCCACCCUCCCUCUCCU